rnacentral:rRNA from 1 species
UACGGAGGGUGCGAGCGUUGUCCGGAAUCACUGGGCGUAAAGGGCGCGUAGGCGGCAGGCCAAGCGUGCGGUGAAAGUCCGGGGCUCAACCCCGGAUCUGCCGUGCGGACUGGUUUGCUAGAGCACUGUAGAGGCGAGUGGAAUUCCGGGUGUAGCGGUGGAAUGCGUAGAGAUCCGGAAGAACACCGGUGGCGAAGGCGGCUCGCUGGGCAGUGGCUGACGCUGAGGCGCGACAGCGUGGGGAGCAGACAGG